rnacentral:lncRNA from 1 species
CCCGACCGCCAAAGAGGUUAGCGCUUUGCUUCCUUCCUGUCUUGUUUAUUUUGGCUUCAUUACUCUCAACAUCACUCCUGAUAUCAGCCAAUCAUUACUCCAUUAACAUUCACAAAUAACAGUGCAUUGCAUGGACAUCUUAUGAAGGGUAGUUCUUUAUUUGCAGAAAUAUAGCAAAUUUUAUUAUAUCUAAAAUUACCCUUUUGUUAUUAUUUCAAUUAUUUAAUUUAAAUCUAGUAUUUUGAAUCUAAAUUGCGACUAGACUUGCUCAUCAUUAUCAUGUCUAAGUCCAAAGGUCCUUCCGAAAAUUAGGAGAUUUAGACAAAAAUACAAGGUUCGAAAAAUGUAUUUGGGUAAAAUUUAAGACUCGUUUUCUAUAUGGGUCGGGCUUUGGGUAAGAUUUUUUACCCAACCCAACCCGGCCCAAAUAUAUUAUGUUAUAAAAAUAUUUCAUUAUUAUUUUCAUAUAGGCAUUAAUUGUAUUUUGAAUUUUUUUAUUGUUAAUAUUUUAAUUAACAAAUUUGUUAAUAUAAUUUACUUAUAUUCAAAUAGCAUAAUAGAAAAAUGGGUUAAAACUUGACUGAGUCUUAGCUUGAUUGGUAAUGACAUUGUUGUUAGUAUAAGAGGACGUGGAUUCGAGUGCACUAAAGCGCAUUAUCCUCAUUUUUAAUGGUUGAGAAAGGGCUAUGGGUAGUUUUAGACAUGGUCUAAAAAGAACAGAUAUGAUGAGAACCUAUAAUGAGAUUAAUGUUAAAAAAAUUAAAAAAAUAAACACCUCAACUCAUAUGCAACGUAUGAGAUACCGAGAACUAAUCUAUAAUCUAUAUAUAUAAGCACGAGUUUAGAGGAACUUUUGAAACGACUAAAGUACUCUUUAUUUUUCAUCAUAUUAUUAAAUUGACAUUUAAAGAUAAUUAUAAUAUUUAACUUAGAAUUGUUAGUUAAAAAGUUUACUAUAAAAUAUAAACUGGGAUGAUUAUAUAUUCAUAAAUGAUAAUAAUUUAAUAAAAAUUGUGAUAAUUACACAUUUAAAUAUAAUUAUAAUUUAAAAUAAUUAUUUAAAAAAUUUGAUUUAAACAAAGUUUUACUAAUUUAAAAUAAAACUGUAAUUUUAGUAAAACUCUAAGCGUAAACUAUAAGAAAAAGUUGUUAUAAUUAUAAUUUAAUUUACAAUUAUUAGUUAAAAAUGAUUAUAAUUUAAUUUAUGUAAAUUAAAGUUAUUAAUUGAAUAGAACUCUAAGCAUAUUAAUUAUUAUUAGAGUUAUAUACCAAUUAAAAUUUAACUUUAAUUUUUUAAAGUAAAUUUAGUAGUUACAUCUAUUCAAUCAAGUAACAUGUAAGAAAAUUUAUGAACAAAAAAAUUGGAAAAUUUUAAUAAUAAUAAGUAAGAAUUAUAUAAAAAAGAAUGAGGCAUUAAAGUAAUGGUUAUUUAAAAAUGUAAAUAUUGAAUCAUAUUCUAACAACAGUGGCACUAGAGAGAGAUAAAAUAUUAUUUUAAUUGCUGACGAGAUAAUAUAGCAUUAUGAUAAUCUUGUGUAAGUUGUUUAUACUAUGUGAAUCAAACAAUCUUAAAUUCGUCUUUUAUUUAUCCAUUAUGUGUUUGGUGCUGGUGGAAAACAUUUUGUGGAUUCAUUUUAAAAAUAAAUUUAAAUUUCAACCAUUAUUUUCUAAUCAUUCUUAUUAAUUUAGUGUAAAUAUCUUUUGUAUUUAUUUUCUUAUAUAGCUUCAAAUUUGUGUAUUAUUUUAAUAGUGUUAUGUAUUAAUUCUUUUUUUAUUUUAAAAAUGUUAUUUUAUUCUCUCAACUAUUUUUUUCAAAAUUAAUUGACUUUUAGUAUAAAUUUAAGUUAGUACAAAUAUAUAUUUUUAACAUUAUAAAAAUAUUAAUUAAGAAAUUAAGAAAUUGUAUAAUAUUUCGUGUAACACGUGAUAUUUGAAACUAGUAUAUAUAAAAGCACGAAUGUAAAGAAACAUUUUACGAUAUCAUUGGCCGUAAAUUAUAUCACAAAAUUUUAUAUGUGCAGUUACUUUAAUUAUAACACGUGAUAUGUGCAGUUACUUUAAUUAUAUAUGAAAUAAAUAACCAAACUGCGAUAUUUCAGUAGUUUAUGGAGGUAGCUUAGCAUGGAGAUCUGUUAAAGGUUUUGGGUCAUGUUUGACUGUCCAUUUUAGUUCAAUAAAUUCUCAAAACUUAUUUAAAGUUUAUUUGUUUCACUACAUCAAAACAGGCUUUUAGCGGCGCCUUUAGCGGCGUUUGGACAAAAAACGCCACUAAAAAUAAAGCAGUAGCGACGCUUUUAGAAAAACGCCGCUAAAGGUCGAUCAUUUGCGGCGAUUUUUAAAAAACGCCGCUAAAAAUAAGCAUUAGCGGCGUUUUUUGGAAAGCGCCGCAAAAAGCCUAAGCCCAACUGCACCGUUUUCUGAGUUUUUUGGGGUCUUUAGCGGCAUUUUCUGAAAAGCGCCGCUAAUGAUCAGGUCUUUAGCGGUGUUUUUGAAUAAGCGCCGCCAAUGCUCUGGUCUUUAGCGGCAUUUUUGAAUAAGCGCCGCUAAUACUCAGGUCUUUAGCGGCGUUUUUGAAUAAGCGCCGCUAGUGAUCAGGUCUUUAGCGGCGUUUUUUAAUAAGCGCCGCUAAUGCUCGUACCUUUAGCGGCGUUUUUUGAGGAAGCGCCGCAAAAACAUUUUAUCUAUCUAUUUGCUAUGUAAUUUGUUUAUUUAUAUUAAUUAAAAUCCAAUUUAUUUUUAAUUGAAUAUUUGUUAAAAAUUGAUAAAUUUGAAAUAAUGACACGUAGAAAUAAUUUGAAAUAAAAAACAUAGAAAAAUAUUUGUUAAAAAUAGAGAAAUUAAAAUACUAUUAUUUAAAAUAAUUUUAAAAUUUUUUGGGUACAUAAUUGAUUGAUUUUUAAUUUAAAUAUUAAAUAAUUUCAAAUAUAAUUGUAAAAGAUACGAUAGUAUUAAUUUUGAAAUAUUUAAUUUAAUUAUCAUUAUAGUUUAGGGUAUAUAUAUAUAUGGUUAAUUUAGGAUUUAGUAGGGCCGAUUUAAGAGUUACAAUUUUAAGGUUUAUAGAUUAUGGAAUUAGGGAUUUUGAUUUAAGGGUUGUGAUUUAAGGUUUAUUUAGGGGUUAGGGGUUAGAGUUAGGGGUUAAAGGUUAGAAGUUUAGGGUUUAUGGAUUCGGUGUUAGGUUAGAAUUUAGGGUUUAGACUAAUUAAUAUAUUUUAUAUUAUAUAAUAUUAAAUAAUGUUUAGGGGUUAGGGAUUUAGGGUUAGGGUUUAGGAUUAAUUUAGAUUAAUUAGUGUUUUUUAAUUUAUAUAUUAAAUAAUGUUUAGGGGUUAGUGAUUCGGGGUCGAGUUAGGGUUUAGGAUUUAGAUUAAUUAGUGUUUUUUAAUUUAUAUAUUAAAUAAUGUUUAGAGGUUAGGGGUUAGUGAUUUGGGGUCGAGUUAGGGUUUAGGAUUUAGAUUAUGUAACACCCUUUAACCCUAAACCAUCGCUGGAACAGGGUUACGGAGCAUUACCGGAUAUAUCAGAUAACUUAUAACUAGUUCACAAUUAAAUAACAGAUAUAGCAUACUUGUAUCAAAUAUGUCAUAUUGGUUCCAUUUCAUACUUAUAACCAAUAUAAACAUCAUUCUACAACCGUAAUAACAAAACUUUUAUACUUAACCUAUACAUCACCUAGGUACAUGCCACAUUAUCAAACAAAGGUACAUCACUAAAAUUUCUCUGAGGUCGGGACUACUCUGGAUGCUGGACCGAACACUGGAUUUCUACUAACCUGCGCACGGAAACAACCGUACGCUGAGCAUGGGAAUACUCAGUGGUAUUACUAUAAUUCAAAUUAAUAACAUUAAUCGGUAAAUUAUAUACAUUUAAUUUAUGUCUAUAAUUAUUCAUUAAUUAUCUCGUAAAUAAAACCAACUUGAUAAUUAAUAACAAUAAGCAAUAUUUCAAUUCUUGUAUUUAAUUGUAUUCAUACAUUAUUUCACUAUCUCAAUUCUAUUGGAUUUUUCAACAUCUCAUUCUAGUAACUCAUUCCAAUUUAUACAAAUUCAAUCACUUUAUCAACUCAUUCAUUAUCAUUUCUAUUUAUAUUCAUUUUAUACUUUUAAUCUUUUAAUAAUCAAAUUAAACGUUUAAACCAACAUGUUUCAAUAAUAAUAAUAACUAAUUUUAUAAAAUUUUAUUCAAAUUAACUCAUACACUAUUUUUUUUAUUAUUAUUUCAAUUUAUACCAUUAAUCUUUCAAUAAACAUUUCAUAUAUUAAAUCAACUUGUUUCAACAACAAUAAUAAUAAUAACUAUCUUUCAAUUCGAUUCGUUCAUUUUUAAAUCAAUUUACACAUAUAAUCUUUUAACACUCAAUUUAUACAUUAAAUCCAUAAAUAAAUUUCAAUAACUUGUAUUCAAUUAAAUUCACAUAUAAUUUCACUAUUCAAAUCAUUUAAUUUUCACUCCUCAUUUUUCAACAAAAGCUAUUUCAAAUUGCUUUUCUUCAUUUAGAUUUUACAUCAUCUCUUACUACCAAAAUCAUUUCAUGAAUUAUAUCAUUAUCUAUUUCUUGAACCCAUGGUUCAUACAUUUCAUUUUCUAUAUCUCAAUUUAAUCUUUCUUUUCGAUUCAUAUUCAAGAUCAUUCAAUAAAAUUUAUAUUAUCAAAAUUAUUCAUUUACCCCUAUUAACUUGACUCGGACUCUGACAGAUACGCGGAUUCCACCCAAACACACCAGAAUAUCCAACCAAAACACACCUGAAAUAAAUAUAAAUCCUCCAUAACACACCCAAUAUAUCAUAUCCUCCCAAACACACCAAUAAGGCAUUAAAUGCCUCUUCGGAUAAACCGAAGCAUAUAAUAACAUAAUCAUCUUCUCGGCCGAGCUACAAAUCUCCUCAUCACAUCACAAAUCCUAUGGCAUGCCAUUUGUAUCCAAUCUAGUCCGAUAAGUUAAUAGGGUAUUCGAAUCACAAUUCAAUUCAAUCACUUUCUCAUACUUUCAAUUCCAAUUUAAUCACAAUUUAAUUCAAUACAUUUUUUAUCUUCCAAUCAGUAUACCAUCAAAUGCUCAUACAUAUUUAUACUUCAUUUAAUUUCAUUCAAUUCACAUACGAUUCAAUAUCAUUUAAUUCAAUAUCAAUAUUCACCUUAUUUUUAUUUACUAAACAUAUUAUUCAAAAUUCAACAAUUGCUAUUAAUAAAUUCAAUAUCAAUACGUAUUUAUCAUUCAAUUCAAUCAUGAUACUUACUUCAAUUUGCUUAUCAUGUAUAUUAAUUUAAAUUUUAACAAUUAAUAAUUAAAUUCGAAUUAUGGUAAUACUAACCGUAAAUUUUCUCGAGUCACUCCUUGAUCACCUUCCCCUUUCCUUUCUCGGCAAUGACUCUUGCACGACAUUAGCUACGUAAUUAAACAAUUAAAAAUUAUUAAUACACAAUUUCAUUAAAAUAUUUCCAUUUAUACCUAAACUUUACCUAAAUUCUAAUUUAAUCCCUUAUCAAUACUAAUUUUAUUUUCCCAAUCUAACUCCAUAUGCUCUCUUAAUUCUUACUAUAAAUUCACUUUAACUCUUCAUUUUCACCAUAAAUCCUUAAUUUCGAAAUUCUCUCAAUUUAGUCCCUAUUAAUUCAAAGCCUAUAAUUUAUUUUACAAAUCAACCUUUUACUAACUUUUAACUUGAAAUUUAAUCAAUUUAACCCUUAAUUCUUUCAUUUAUUCAACAUAAUCAAUGUCUAGAAAUAUAAUAACUUCUCAAAUUUCAACAUAAAUCCAAUAAUACUUUGUUCUAGAAUACCAAAAACUAAAAAAAUUAUAAGAAAAUAACUUAAUUUAACUUACCAAUUAAGCUUGAAAGCUUGAAAUCCCAAAUUUUCUUCCUUUCCUUCCCUUUUUUUUUCUUUUUCUUUCCUUUCCUUCUUUCCUUCUCUGUUUCGUUUGCCUAUUCUGUU